rnacentral:rRNA from 1 species
UACGUAGGUGGCAAGCGUUUGUCCGGAUUUAUUGGGUUUAAAGGGUGCGUAGGCGGCCUUGUAAGUCAGUGCUGAAAUAUCCCGGCUUAACCGGGAGGGUGGCAUUGAUACUGCAGGGCUUGAGUAAAGUUGAGGUUGGCGGAAUUGACGGUGUAGCGGUGAAAUGCGUAGAUAUCUGGAGGAAUACCGGUGGCGAAGGCGGCAUCCUGGACCGACAUUGACGCUGAACGGCGAAAGCUAGGGGAGCAAACGGG